UACGUAGGGUGCAAGCGUUAAUCGGAAUUACUGGGCGUAAAGCGUGCGCAGGCGGUGAUGUAAGACAGUUGUGAAAUCCCCGGGCUCAACCUGGGAACUGCAUCUGUGACUGCAUCGCUGGAGUGCGGCAGAGGGGGAUGGAAUUCCGCGUGUAGCAGUGAAAUGCGUAGAUAUGCGGAGGAACACCGAUGGCGAAGGCAAUCCCCUGGGCCUGCACUGACACUCAUGCACGAAAGCGUGGGGAGCAAACAGG
rnacentral:rRNA from 1 species